UUAGAGUUUGAUCCUGGCUCAGAACGAACGCUGGCGGCAGGCUUAACACAUGCAAGUCGAACGCCCCGCAAGGGGAGUGGCAGACGGGUGAGUAACGCGUGGGAAUCUACCGUACCCUACGGAAUAACGCAUGGAAACGUGUGCUAAUACCGUAUACGCCCUUCGGGGGAAAGAUUUAUCGGGGUACGAUGAGCCCGCGUUGGAUUAGCUAGUUGGUGGGGUAAAGGCCUACCAAGGCGACGAUCCAUAGCUGGUCUGAGAGGAUGAUCAGCCACAUUGGGACUGAGACACGGCCCAAACUCCUACGGGAGGCAGCAGUGGGGAAUAUUGGACAAUGGGCCCAAGCCUGAUCCAGCCAUGCCGCGUGAGUGAUGAAGGUCAUAGGAUUGUAAAAGCUCUUUCACCGAUGAAGAUAAUGACGGUAGUCGGAGAAGAAGCCCCGGCUAACUUCGUGCCAGCAGCCGCGGUAAUACGAAGGGGGCUAGCGUUGUUCGGAAUUACUGGGCGUAAAGCGCACGUAGGCGGAUAUUUAAGUCAGGGGUGAAAUCCCGCAGCUCAACUGCGGAACUGCCUUUGAUACUGGGUAUCUCGAGUAUGGAAGAGGUGAGUGGAAUUCCGAGUGUAGAGGUGAAAUUCGUAGAUAUUCGGAGGAACACCAGUGGCGAAGGCGGCUCACUGGUCCAUUACUGACGUGAAGGUGCGAAAGCGUGGGAGCAAACAGGAUUAGAUACCUGGUAGUCCACGCCGUAAACGAUGAAUGUUAGCCGUCGGGCAGCUUGCUGUUCGGUGGCGCAGCUAACGCAUUAAACAUUCCGCCUGGGGAGUACGGUCGCAAGAUUAAACUCAAAGGAAUUGACGGGGGCCCGCACAAGCGGUGGAGCAUGUGGUUUAAUUCGAAGCAACGCGCAGAACCUUACCAGCUCUUGACAUUCGGGGUAUGGGCAGUGGAGACAUUGUCCUUCAGUUCGGCUGGCCCCAGAACAGGUGCUGCAUGGCUGUCGUCAGCUCGUGUCGUGAGAUGUUGGGUUAAGUCCCGCAACGAGCGCAACCCUCGCCCUUAGUUGCCAGCAUUCAGUUGGGCACUCUAAGGGGACUGCCGGUGAUAAGCCGAGAGGAAGGUGGGGAUGACGUCAAGUCCUCAUGGCCCUUACGGGCUGGGCUACACACGUGCUACAAUGGUGGUGACAGUGGGCAGCGAGACCGCGAGGUCGAGCUAAUCUCCAAAAGCCAUCUCAGUUCGGAUUGCACUCUGCAACUCGAGUGCAUGAAGUUGGAAUCGCUAGUAAUCGCAGAUCAGCAUGCUGCGGUGAAUACGUUCCCGGGCCUUGUACACACCGCCCGUCACACCAUGGGAGUUGGUUUUACCCGAAGGUAGUGCGCUAACCGCAAGGAGGCAGCUAACCACGGUAGGGUCAGCGACUGGGGUGAAGUCGUAACAAGGUAACC
rnacentral:rRNA from 1 species